UACGUAGGGGGCAAGCGUUGUCCGGAUUUAUUGGGCGUAAAGAGCGUGUAGGCGGCCAGACAGGUCCGUUGUGAAAACUGGAGGCUUAACCUUCAGACGUCGAUGGAAACCGUCUGGCUAGAGUCCGGAAGAGGAGAGUGGAAUUCCUGGUGUAGCGGUGAAAUGCGCAGAUAUCAGGAAGAACACCCGUGGCUAAGGCGGCUCUCUAGUACGGUACUGACGCUGAGACGCGAAAGCGUGGGGAGCGAACAGG
rnacentral:rRNA from 1 species